UAGGAAUCUUCCACAAUGGACGCAAGUCUGAUGGAGCAACGCCGCGUGAGUGAAGAAGGUUUUCGGACCGUAAAGCUCUGUUGUUGGUGAAGAAGGAUAGAGGUAGUAACUGGCCUUUAUUUGACGGUAAUCAACCAGAAAGUCACGGCUAACUACGUGCCAGCAGCCGCGGUAAUACGUAGGUGGCAAGCGUUGUCCGGAUUUAUUGGGCGUAAAGCGAGCGCAGGCGGAAGAAUAAGUCUGAUGUGAAAGCCCUCGGCUUAACCGAGGAAUUGCAUCGGAAACUGUUUUCUUGAGUGCAGAAGAGGAGAGUAGAACUCCAUGUGUAGCGGUGGAAUGCGUAGAUAUAUGGAAGAAUACCAGUGGCGAAGGCGGCUCUCUGGUCUGCAACUGACGCUGAGGCUCGAAAGCAUGGUAGCGACAGGAUUAGAU
rnacentral:rRNA from 1 species